ensembl:lncRNA
GGUACCACGGCCCCCUGUAUAUAGCCUCCACACUGCCUGGGUACCAGGGCCCCCUGUAUAUAGCCUCCACACUGCCUGGGUACCAGGGCCCCCUGUAUAUAGCCUCCACACUGCCUGGGUACCAGGGCCCCCUGUAUAUAACCUUGUUAUCGUUAUUCUUAUUGUGUUACUUUUAAUUAUUACUUUUUAUUUCAGUCUACUUGGUAAAUAUUUCUUCUUCUUGAACUGCACUGUUGGUUAAGGUCUUGUAAGGAAGCAUUUAACAUUUGAUUUGAUUUGACCCAUUCAUUUCUAAUGACCGGUCAUUUUUGACUGGGAACACCAGAGGUGUAUAAAAGUUAAAUAAAACACCCAAAAUGUAAUGCAAAUUAUCAAAAUGUAUUUUGUGUGUUCAGAUGCCCUGUGUGGACAAAGUAAUGGAACCUUAUGACAAUCAGAUUAAAUUAACUACAUUUUUCAGAGAAGAAAUGUGUAAAUCGGUCCAAUUUGACCAGAACACAGCAGGAGGGUUGAGACACAUUAUAAAAAUUAAAAAAUACAUUAAUAAUCAACCUCAGAUACUUGUACUCACUGACAUCUAAUGUGGCAGGACCACAGGUAAACAUACAAUGUGUUCUAGGCACUGAGAAAUUCCUUGUGUACUACCUUAGUUUUGUCUACAUGGAUAUUCAAAACAAUAUUUAUAUAUACCAAUAUAAAACAAUAUAGAAACGUUGUAUGUUUGGUGUAUGUAAAGUAUUACAGGGCACUACGCUAUAAUGUGCCUUGAAAUGAAUCCCGACCUAAAUGGUGGAAGCCCUCUAUGCCUCUGUCCAUGCUAAAGCAGGCUUUGUGGCAAAUACAGUAUUAUCUUUAUAUGAUCAUACUGUAUAUUAAAUAUACCAUUAUGUUGUUCUCUCUUUAUGUGAUUCCCCUCAACUUUUACUUCAGAAGGAGACACCAUCUUUGGCACAAGGUGUGAUCCAUUCCCACCAUUGACUGUUCAGUGUGUAAAGAGACAUAGAAGAGUGGCGGGGAGACAGGUCACUGUGGUCAACACACCAGCCUGGUGGAGGGAAUUUCUGAAGAAAGCUCCUGUGCAAGAGUUGGAUAAAUAGGAAAUAGUGUGCACUGUGUCACUGUGUUCCCAGCAACCCAUGUUUUCUUCCUGGUCCUAAAGAUGGACUAUAUGUUCACAGAGGAAGAAAGAAUGGCAGUAGAGGAGCACAUGUAACUUCUUGGCAAGACAGUCUGGAGUGAACAACAACUAUAGUGCUGUUCACUAAUGGAGAGUGGCUGGGAGAUGCGACCAUUGAGCAGUACAUUGAGUGUGAAGUGGAGGCCCUUCAGCGGCUUGUUGAGAAGUGUGAGAACAGUUAUCAUGUCUUCAAAAACCUUGGCAGGGAUGAUGUCCUGGAGCUGCUGGAGGAGAUAGAAGACAUGGUGGCAGGAAACAUGGAAGAUCAGUUUUACACUUAAAAUGGUAUACUUGGAAGUAUGAUCAUUGAGUUGAGCAUCAUUGCCUAGUUUCUGCAUGUAUUACAAAUUAAGAUUAUAUUGUAAAAUUGUUUAUAUUUAAAACACCUGUGACGUGAUCUAUGAAUGAACAAUGUUAAAUUGUACUGAUUUAUGUUGUAAUUUGUGGGAGAACUAUGCAGUCAAAGGCAAAGCGCAAUAACUACGUAAUUGUUUUACGUUGAAAUCUGACUUAGUAUUUUUCUGUCCAGACAGACAGCAAUUUCUGAUACUGCAUGGUAUAUUCUGAUCAACUGGCUUGUUCUUGUGUCAGGAAAAUAAAUACCACAUUAAUCAGAUAUUAUACCACAGCAUUGUUGAAUACUUGAAUAGAAACUGAAAUUGCAUACAAUGUCAAUGCAAGUCCAACAAGGAAUUUAUGUAACUAGCUAGAUAGCAUGCAUUGUUUUGUUUUUGCAGAAACAUCUUUUUUUGGAGCAUCUGAUGACCUAAUAUUGAGAGUGAUGAACAUGGUUUGCUAGCAACAAACUAUAUAUUUAGCUAGCUUCUAGCCUGGUGUUUGAUAUGCAAUAGGAUGUUCUCGUAAUUAACAGUGAGUGUUGACAAGUGUCCUGACGAGAAGGCAAACUUUUCUAGCUAUGCCAGGCAAAAUCGGGCAUUAUCAGCUCAUUGUUAUUGAUGUAUCCAAAUGAAUGUCAACAGAAAACAGGGGUUGUGCUGGGUUGCGCCCAUAUAUAUAACGUUAUAACUAAUCGAAUGAGCGACUGGGUCAUGUCUAUAGCAACCAAAAGAUGAGAAAGUAUGAAUUUGCUUAUAAAAAUGAUUUUAUUUCUACCGGUAAAUAUGUGCUUAGUAUUGUUUUCUUUGGCAAUUGUGGUAUAAGUGGGAUAAACAUGUUAAACAAACGUAAUGCAGUAAACUGAUAUUCUGGCUGCAGUGGUUGAGACUCUGUAGCCAUAGCUAGUUGGCUUACUAGCAGCAAGCAAAGGAGAAGACGUAGCCAUGGAACAUAAAGAACGAUUGGGUCGCAUCCGUAAUUAUCUAUUAAUUAACUAUUAACUAUUAUCAAACUCUAGCAACCAAAAAAGUUUGAAUUCGCUUAGAAAAAUUAAAAUAUCGACUUAAAAGAUAAUAUUUCGAAAGGUAAAUGUGUGCUUUCAAAUUGUUUACUUUGGCAACUGUGGUAUAAGCAGGAUAAACACCUCCGCUGGAAAAAUGUACUACGCAAAGGGACUCGGCUCCGUCUCGUCCCGCUGUGUCACCUACUAUGGGGGCGGCAGGGUAGCCUAGUGGUUAGAGCGUUGGACUAAUAUUCAAAAGGUUUGAAGUUCGAAUCCCCGAGCUGACAAGGUACAAAUCUGUCAUUCUGCCCCUGAACAAGGCAGUUAACCCACUGUUCCUAGGCCAUCAUUGAAAGUAAGAAUUUGUUCUUUAACUGACCUGCCUAGUUAAAUAAAGGUAAAUAAACGUUUUUUUAAAUCAAAGUUAAUGUACAAAAUGUUGGCGUUUAUCCCAUACAUAAAUCUGAUCAUUACAACAAAGGUCUAAGAUUUUAGACCAAAUUCGUAGUUACUGUAUUUUGGCUUUGUAGGACAGUAUGGACACAUCCCUUGACAAAAAGUAUCUGUUCCAGACAGUACUCUCAGAGGCACAGCCCAAGGCUGGAUAUACUUCCAUGGUACAAGCUAGAGAAAAGGAGAAGAGCUCUGAGACACACCUUCACACCCCUCUCUCUUCCUCCCCAGACUCCUGUCUAAAACAAGGUCAUCAAAAACUCAUUACCCUCCACAGCCUGCCCAUGAUACCUACCAGCCAAGUGGAGCUAUUCCUCAUUUUAUAUCACUCUUUAUGGAACGGUAUGAUGACACAAGCAGAGGGAAUCUGCACUAGUGAAUCAUCACUCAACACUUUUUAUAUGUGUAAUUGAGUGGUUGAUUGAUUUUGAUGAUAAAAUUGCAUAUACAGGGAUCACCUCUCAAUUAUUUUGUUAAAAUAUUAACAGAAGUGAAUUUAUGUUAAUAUCAAGUGGCAUAGCAUGGUUAUGUUAUUGUAAAUAAAUACUGGGUUCAUGGUUGGGCAACUCCAGUCCUCAGGGGUCUGAUUGGUUUCACACUUUUCCCCAGCCCUAUAGCUAACACACCUGAUGACAGCUGAUUAUUGGAGUCAGCUGUGGCUGGCGCAAAAGUGUGACACCAGUCAGGCCCCGAGGACUGGAGUUGGCCUUCCCUGGUUCAUAUCAUGCAUUUAUUGGGCUUGUGUUCAUAUCAACACAGUUAACUGUGGGACAGCACAGUGUACCUCCCAAACAGAACUGCAUGAUACUGCUUAUUUCUACAGUACAAUGCAAUCAGACUUAUAUUGAACUCCUGUAUUCAGUGGAAAACUGAAAUGUCAUUGCCCAUUAGGUUUUAUGCUCAUGUAUUUAUGGAGUAAUCAUGUCUGGUUUGUACGGUGGCCUGCAAGGACAAGAUGCCAGUGUGUGAUAAUAGUAAUACAACUCUAAUCUGAACUGUCUGUGCUGUCUGGAUAUCUGAAAGAGGAGAACGAGAACAACACAAAAAGAGAUUGUGUGUACUAUCUUGUGAAUAUGUAUACUUUAUCUUGUAUUUGGUGACUACUCUUUUUCAUAUGAUUAUUAUUGCUAUUGUUAACUGUAAUGAUACUGUUUGUUGUUGUUGUUAAUGCCAUAAUUUGUUUGGCGAUGUACUAUAAGUUCCCUUACUUUUUAUACCAAUAAAGGUUUUUAGAACAGAUUUGAACUGAAUGCAGUUGAAUUGAAUUGAUUAGAAUGGACAGAGGGAGAGAUAAGGACAGACUGUUCCGUGCUCAUUCCUAUUCCCUUAUACAGGAACAACGAUAAAGAGACAAAUCCACACAGGUGCAGGAAUAACCCUAACGGGGAGGAGGCAUGUGCGAGUGAGAUAGAGAUGGAGACGUGCCGAGCUAUCUGUUGCAGGAUGCUGAAGGAGGAAGAGAAAGUCAAAAGCUCCAGAUGAAAUGUCAUUAUCAGGAAGGGGAAGAAGAAUCCCAUUUAGUGUGAUUAGAGGUCAGAGGCCUUGGAGGUGUAAACACAAAAAUCAACUGAGAAAGUUGAUCAUGUUUUCUUUUCUGUUCAUUUAUAAGUAAUUUCAAAGUUCAUAUAAUAACAGUAUGGAGUUACUAGCUGGGUUCUAGCUUGAAAUAUAUUUAUUCAUGUUACCAUUCUAGAACUUAUUGAUUGCUGUACAAGUAUAUAAGCUGGGGUCAAUGGAGGGUGGAUAAGAACUAGGUAUAUGGAAUGUUCCUGAGUGAGACAAGGGGGAGUGCAGAAAGUUUACAUUCUGUAAAAACAUGUUAUUGUUAAAUGGCUCCUAAGGAGGGAGGCAAAAGGCAGCAGUCUGGUUUCAGCCACUGUUAAGGUAUGACAUUCGUGGAUCAGGGAGGAGCGAGGAAUUCGGACCGAGGUCAGAUAAGAUGAAGUGAGAAGGAACACACAUAUAAUUCCAUGCCCACGAAGGUUCUAGCAUGAGACUACACCAGUGAGAAGAACAAAUUAAGUUCCUGACCAGCAACAGAGAUGUAUUGGCUGUCUAGAUGUGCAAGGAGUUGACACCAGCUAGUAGGAGGGUAUAAAUGUAUGUGCUUGUGUAAACAUGUCUUUGUCUUUUUCAGCUGUUUGACCCAGUGGGUGAAUAAACUUGGUUUGAG